rnacentral:rRNA from 1 species
UGCGUAGGCGGCGCGGUAAGUCGGGUGUGAAAUCUCGGAGCUUAACUCCGAAACUGCAUUCGAUACUGCCGUGCUUGAGGACUGGAGAGGAGACUGGAAUUUACGGUGUAGCGGUGAAAUGCGUGGAUAUCGUAAGGAAGACCAGUGGCGAAGGCGGGUCUCUGGACAGUUCCUGACGCUGAGGCACGAAGGCCAGGGAGCAAACG